CAUUCUCCUAAUUGUGACAGAGUCUGUCAUUUCUCUAAUGGGGUCCAGAUGACUUCAGGGGAUAAAAAUGUUUCUCUAGCUCAUCACACUUUGUUUUGUUACCUGGGAAGAUGCUCUGCUGGAUCCAACACUGCUAGGAUGCUUGCAGAGAGAAGUUGAGUAACAUCUUAUGGCCACAAUACAGCAGGAACAGGAAGGAUGACAAUAUUAUUACAAUGAAGAAGUAAUUUAGAAGCCUAAUUUAGAAACCACUUCUAGGAUAGAGGAUGACCCAAAAAGCUGGUCGUGAAAAAGACACGAGAAACCUUCAACUAUUUUGGCAGCAAGAAACUACACACACUUGUGAGGAGCAUUAACCGAAAGGUAUCAAGAAUUCUUGAAUGAUUUUUUUUUAAAUUUUUCAGAGUCACCUCAUCAUAGAUACAGCUUCCUGAAAAAUAAUUCUAAAGGAAGGAUUUUCUAACUAUGCCACUGUCAUUUCUUGCCUUA